AGUGAACGCUGGCGGUAGGCCUAACACAUGCAAGUCGAACGGCAGCACAGUAAGAGCUUGCUCUUACGGGUGGCGAGUGGCGGACGGGUGGGGAAUACAUCGGAAUCUACUUUUUCGUGGGGGAUAACGUAGGGAAACUUACGCUAAUACCGCAUACGACCUACGGGUGAAAGCAGGGGAUCUUCGGACCUUGCGCGAUUGAAUGAGCCGAUGUCGGAUUAGCUAGUUGGCGGGGUAAAGGCCCACCAAGGCGACGAUCCGUAGCUGGUCUAAGAGGAUGAUCAGCCACACUGGAACUGAGACACGGUCCAGACUCCUACGGGAGGCAGCAGUGGGGAAUAUUGGACAAUGGGCGCAAGCCUGAUCCAGCCAUACCGCGUGGGUGAAGAAGGCCUUCGGGUUGUAAAGCCCUUUUGUUGGGAAAGAAAAGCAGCAGGUUAAUACCCCGCUGUUCUGACGGUACCCAAAGAAUAAGCACCGGCUAACUUCGUG
rnacentral:rRNA from 1 species